UUUUAUCGGCAGGCUGGGGGAGCUUGGGGUUUCUGCCGCUACUGCUGCCACCAUAUGCAAAUAGUAGACCAAGGUAUAACUGGAUAAAUCCCAAGGCUCGUUGUUAUUAAAAUCCGGCAGAAAAAGUAAUGGGACCGGGAGGGUGUUGCAGAAGCAAGAGGAAACAAAGUAGCACCUGCCCAACUGCCUUGGAGCCUAAAUUCCAAGAGCCAGGGGAACUGUCCUGCUUACACUACCCUGGAUUUGACUGUCUUUAUAACCUGCCGUUUAUGUUCUUCCAAAUCAGACUCACAGAGAAUCAGACCAUCAAAACACAUGGUUACAAAACACAUCUUUUAUGGUUUUCCCUGUCUUCCUGAUUUCCUGAUGGAAAUUGAAGGAAUAAGAUGCACAGAUUUAGGGGAUUUUGUGAGGUUGAGCACCUCAGAUUUUAGUUCUGAGAGGUUUUUAUAAUAUUUUUCCCCCAUUGGUUUUAGAGAGGAGAGAGAGAGAGAAGUGUCAAUUGGUUGCCUCCCAUACACACCCUGACCCUGACCCUGGAUCCAACACCGUCUAUGAACCCACCACCUAGGUAAGUGCCCUGACCAGAAUAGAACCUGCCACCUUUCCGUGUGGACAAUGCACCAACCAACUGAGCCACACCGGCCAGGGCAGUUCUGUGGGUUUUGAAUAAAAAGGGUGCAACCUGGUAAAGUACACCUCAAGGAAAGUGUGUACCAGGUGGACUUUUUCAACAGCCUGAUCUUAGAACCUUAGUGCUGAAGACAGAAUGGCACCCCAGAGAGCCCUCUGGCACCCACCCCCUACAACCUACAUCAAAAGAACCAGCUGCACUAAACUUACUGGGCAAGAUCCACCCACCUCACCACCCAGCAUGAUAACCAGAGGAAACAGCUGGAACUGGCGACUGGAAAAGAGGAAGUUCAUACAUAUCCAACUUGGUCUGCAACUUUUUAGUUCUUUUAUUUUUUUUAUUGAUUAAUCCAGAGGAGAAAACAACUAGUUUUCAAAAUUCAAAAAACUUUGGAGUUUUAGAUCAAGAAAUGGAACAUUGCCAGCACCCCAGAAUCCCCCUGUUGACCUUCCUGAACACAACUCAUCCCCUCUUUUUCAGAGGUAACCCUUAUUCUAUCUUCUGUGAUAAGUAUUUCCUUGCUUUUCUCUAUUGUUUUAUCACAAACAUGCAUCCUUAAGCAAUAUAUCAUUUGGUUUUGUCCUUUCUUGUGAACUUUAUGAAAUGGAAAAACCUAAUAUGUAAUCUAUUUUUCUGGUACUUACUGCUUUAGCUCAACAUUGUUUUUAAUCCAUAUGUUGUUCAGGUUGUUCAUAUAACUUUAAUUUGUUCAUUUUAAUUGCUGAAUAUUAUAGUGUUCCAUUGUAGUAUAUGCCAUGAUUUACUUAACCAUUCUAUUGUUGAUAGAUAUCUGGAUUGUUUCUAGUUUGGAAGGAACUGCUAUACAUGCUGCUAUGAACAUUCUCCCUAUGUAUUCUAUCAUGCCUAUAUCAGUUUCUGUAUAGUAUAUACUUGGAAGUGGAUGUGCAUAUCAUAAACUUGAAUAAAUAACACCAAGCUGUUUCUAAAGUGUUAUAAUCA